rnacentral:tRNA from 1 species
GGAGGAAUAGCUCAGUGGUAGAGCACGUGCUCAAUGCACAAGGUCCUGGGUUCAAUCUCCAGUACCUCCA